rnacentral:rRNA from 1 species
UCCAGAGGGGGCAAGCGUUAUUCGGAAUUAUUGGGCGUAAAGGGCGCGUAGGCGGCUUGGCAAGUGGAUGGUGAAAUCCCUCGGCUUAACCGAGGAACUGCCGUCCAAACUGCUUCGCUUGAGACCGGGAGAGGUGAGUGGAAUUCCCAGUGUAGCGGUGAAAUGCGUAGAUAUUGGGAGGAACACCAGUGGCGAAGGCGGCUCACUGGACCGGUACUGACGCUGAUGCGCGAAAGCGUGGGGAGCAAACGGG